GCCAAGCCACGGACGCAGCACCUUGGUCCAAGCACACACCUUAGAUCCUGGAGGGUCCUGGAUGCAUCUGGUCAUGGACUCACCUUGCUGCUUGCUGGCACCCUCCCCAGGUGUCAUGUCGCAUCUGCCCUAUGUUUGUGGGUGAUUGUGACCCUUUCAUGGGUGGGGCAGCAUGAUCGGGGCAGAUCUCUCAGCUCCCUUCCCCGGCGUGACCCUCCGUCUUUCUCUUUGUCAGUUCUGACAUUUACUCAUUUUUUGUCUACAGAGAGUGGAUGAGAGCUCUCUGCCACUGUCCGGGAGGGCUGGGGCUGGGUGAGGUCUGGGGGCUGGGUGAGGUCUGAGGGCUGGCUGGCAGCUAGGAGGAGGGAGACAUGACGCUGACGGCCCUGCAUUGCUGCUUCCUCCAGCUGAAUCUACCACCCUGACUUAAGGGUCUCCUGGAGAAAGCCCUGGAGCAGACACCAGCCCUGGCUCGCUGCAGCCUUCGAGCCCCACUCUCUCCUCUGGACCUCAGUUUCGCCAUCCAUCCAAUGGUGACCACUCAGUCACUGCCAGAUCCUGAGCAGAUCCGUCCUGGCCCUGGGGAGUGGACCAUCAGGGGGCAGGGCUGGCCAGUGAGCAGAGAGCUGGCGGUGACAUGGGCUCAGCACAGAGCACCACGUGGGGCCUGGGAGGAGCCAUGAGAGCCGGCAGCCCUGCCUGUCCUCCAGAUGAAAGCGAGGCCCGCAGCCUGAGAGGGAGGGAGGAGACGCUAAUUACGCCCAGCGCGGGGCUCCCCAGGCAGCCUCAGCCACAGGAUCAAACACCGCCUUCCUCAGCCACGCGCCCGCCCUGCCCUGCAGGAGCAGUCACGGAGCUGCGACACCACCAGAGCUGGGACACCACCAGAGCUGCGAGACCACCAGAGCUGUGACACCACCAGAGCCGGGACACCACCAGAGCCGGGACACCACCAGAGCCGGGACACCACCAGAGCUCCGAGACCACCAGAGCUGCCACACCACCAGAGCUGUGACACCACCAGAGCCGUGACACCACCAGAGCCGGGACACCACCAGAGCCGGGACACCACCAGAGCCGCGAGACCACCAGAGCCGUGACACCACCAGAGCCGGGACACCACCAGAGCUGGGACACCACCAGAGCUGCGAGACCACCAGAGCUGGGACACCACCAGAGCUGCCACACCACCAGAGCUGCGACAGCACCAGAGCCGGGACACCAGCAGAGCCGGGACACCACCAGAGCCGCAACACCACCAGAGCUGCGACACCAGCAGAGCCGCGACACCAGCAGAGCCGGGACACCACCAGAGCCGUGACACCAGCAGAGCCGGGACACCACCAGAGCUGCGAGACCACCAGGGCCGGGACACCACCAGGGCCGGGACACCACCAGAGCUGCGAGACCACCAGGGCCGGGACACCACCAGAGCCGGGACACCACCAGAGCUGCGAGACCACCAGGGCCGUGACACCACCAGAGCCGGGACACCACCAGAGCUGGGACACCACCAGAGCUGCGAGACCACCAGAGCUGGGACACCACCAGAGCUGCCACACCACCAGAGCUGCGACACCAGCAGAGCCGCGACACCAGCAGAGCCGGGACACCAGCAGAGCCGGGACACCACCAGAGCCGUGACACCAGCAGAGCCGGGACACCACCAGGGCCGGGACACCAGCAGAGCCGGGACACCACCAGAGCCGUGACACCAGCAGAGCCGGGACACCACCAGGGCCGGGACACCACCAGAGCUGCGAGACCACCAGGGCCGGGACACCACCAGAGCCGGGACACCACCAGAGCUGGGACACCACCAGAGCUGCGAGACCACCAGAGCCGUGACACCACCAGAGCCGUGACACCAGCAGAGCUGGGACACCACCAGAGCUGUGAGACCACCAGAGCCGGGACACCACCAGAGCCGGGACACCACCAGAGCUGCGAGACCACCAGAGCCGUGACACCAGCAGAGCCGGGACACCACCAGAGCCGGGACACCACCAGAGCCGGGACACCACCAGAGCUCCGAGACCACCAGAGCUGCCACACCACCAGAGCUGUGACACCACCAGAGCUGUGACACCACCAGAGCCGGGACACCACCAGAGCCGGGACACCACCAGAGCUGCGAGACCACCAGAGCUGGGACACCACCAGAGCUGGGACACCACCAGAGCCGGGACACCACCAGAGCUCCGAGACCACCAGAGCUGCCACACCACCAGAGCUGUGACACCACCAGAGCCGGGACACCACCAGAGCCGGGACACCACCAGAGCCGGGACACCACCAGAGCUGUGACACUGUGGCUUCAGUAAAGCUGUUUCUUCUACCACUGGCUUGCCCUUGCAUUCUUUCCUGGGUGAAGCCAAAAACCCAGAGGGCUAAACUCCACUUUCGGGCUCGCCUGCCUGCAUCAUAACCAUCAGGCCUGGAGAGCCGGGUCUCUUGAGAGUAAACUGCCGUGAGAUUCUACAGGAACUCUGCCUCUCCUCUGGGCUGAGCUGUUCUGCCUCAGUUUCCUCACUAACAAAAUGGGGUGACAUCUUGAGGUGGCCCCUCUCGGUGCUGCCAGCCUCUCUGCUCCCCACUCUUUUUGGGCAGCCCUCAAGGCCCUCGUACAGCAUCUGGGGGGCGGGUCACACUGCAUACGGCAGGGGUGGGGGGGGUCACAGACAGAGGUGCUAAAUCGAUGCAGGACGUCCGCCCCAAAGACACGCUUGUGCUCCCUUUGGAGAGUCCUGCAUCCUUCGCCCUCUGUUCAUCUGUCUGUUUGGGUCCUGGGGAUGAGUCUAGGUGGCGGCCAUCUCCGGAUGUCCCCAGGUUGCUCUGUGUGGGGAAGGGUGGGGAGGCUGCUGGGAACUGGACUCUCCUGGAGAGAGGCAGGGCCAGUGGGCUGUGGGUGCUGGGGCUUGGCACGGUGCUCCCCAGCCUGGUGGCCCCCUCUGCAGUGGAUGGAGUCGGGAUCCUGGGGGCAGUGAGUCUGGGACCCCGUCUUGGGAAGUCAGCCAGCCCCAGGAGCUGAUUUGGCCAACCUGGCCUCAAUUGAGCACCAAGGGGGCCUGAGGGAGCACCGAGGGGGCCUCCUGGGAGUUUGUCACAUGAUGGAGGCCUCGAGCCGUGGCCCGGCUCUGUCUGCUCGCGCCCCCUCACCCACGGCUGGCUAUUGUGGAUGGUGAUGUUCCUGUUACAACUGAGGGAUCUCCAUAGAAACCCAACAAGGUCUAAUUAGACACAAGUAAGUGCUUCCCA
rnacentral:lncRNA from 1 species